AGUUUCCUCUGCCGGGGCGCCCCGCAGGCCUGCUUGGACAGCUGUGGCUUGCCGGCACGAAGGCCACGAAGCUGCAGAUCAACCACUGCCGUCCAUCUCCACCCGAAAUCAGAGCCAGAGGAAAUGGAUGGGAGUGGAGCCCGAAUUUACUCACAAAGUUGAAUUUCCUCCCAAGUCUUGUUCUGUCGCCCAGGCUGGAGUGCAAUGAUGCGAUCUCGGCUUACUGCAACCUCCGCCUCCCAGCUUCAAGCGAUUCUCCUGCCUUAGCCUCCCAAGUAGCUGGGAUUACAGGCGCACACCACCACACCUGGCUAAUUUUUGUAUUUUUAGUAGAGACGGCAUUUCACCAUGUUGGCCAGGCUGGCCUCAAACCCCUGACAUCAAAUGAUCCACCAGGCUCAGCCUUUCAAAGUGCUGUGAUUACAGGCAUGAGCCACUGCACCCAGCUCCUCCCCAGGUCUUCUUAGCAUUUAACUUAGCAUCCAACUUUACUCAUUUAGGAUUCUUACAUUACAGCAAUUGGACCUUAUGGAGUAAUUAAAGUAAAAAGCAAAGCAAACCGAACUAAAAGGAAAUCCUAGUUAAGUGAGUUAUUUCUAAUUUUUGAAAUCAGCUUGUUUUCCUUCAUGGAAUUGUCUCACAUUCUGGGAAAUCAAGCUGAGCCAUCUGGUGAACGGUUGUUUCCAAUCGAUAGGCUUUGAGGUUGGUGAUGGGUUCUUAUUGUUUUAGGGAUUUUUCCCUUUCAUAUAAACAGUUUCCUUUGUUGGAAAUUGAGCCCCUGCUACACCAAACCUGAGCAUCUCUUUCCACUGUGCUAUCCUUUUUUUUUUUUUUUUUUGAGACUGAAUUUCGCUCUUGUUGCCCAGACUGGAGUGCAGUAAUGUGAUCUCGGCUCACUGCAACCUCUGCCUCCUGGGUUCAAGCAAUUCUGCUGCCUCAGCCUCCCACGUAGCUGAGAUUACAGGCAUGUGCCACCACGCCUGGCUAAUUUUUGUUUUUUUAGUAGAGACAGGGUUUCACCCUGUUGGCCAGGAUGGUCUUGAUCUCUUGACCUCGUGAUUCACCACCUCAGCCUCCCAAAGUGCUGGGAUUACAGGCGUGAGCCACCAUGCACAGCCUCCACUGUGCUCUUCUUAAGUUGUUACUCAUCGCUGAUCCUGGCCCACCAACUCUUAGGUCAGAUGCUGACAGUGUAAACUCUGGCUGAUCUGAUCAGCUCCCCACAGAAGUUCCUUGACUUCUGUCUACCCCGGUGCUGACACAGUUCCCACCCCAGCCCACCACACUUGCACCCAUAGUCUCAUCCGGGUGACUCUGUGUGUUCACAAACUCAAAUGGCUAUGAAAAGCUUAGCCAGUGGUAACCAAAGUAACAGGACUGGGGCCAGAAAACAUCCUUAACUCAGAGAACAACAUCUUGAUUCUUGCAUGAGUGGUUUUUCAG